AGCACACUGAUGUUCCAAUGAAGAAGCUUGCCGACGUGGCACUGAGCCAGUGCCCGUGAACAGCAGCCUCAACGCACCACCCUAGCGCAGUACAUAACCUCUGCUACAGCAACGCUCCUCACUGGCGACAUUUGCAAAAUAGAACUCCUUUCGGACCCGGGCUGCACUACAGAGAACAGGGAGGAGGUCUGGCCCCUGCACAUUCCCAGUGUGUGGACAUUCCCUGAUGCUCGUGAACCAGAUCCCCAAUUAUGGGUAAAUAGUCCCGCUACCUUGUGGGCAGCCUCAGGAGAGACGAACAUUAAAGGACUAAACCCAGACAGCAAAUCUGGAGCGGAGGCCCUAAGGCCAUUGGAUGUAUUGAACGUCCUUCCUGCAGCUCCUGCAGCCAAGCUGGUGCCAAACGUAUUGCUUCAUAAGCUUUCCUUCGGACUACACAGGUGAGGCCGAGUGGGGGAUCUUGACAACUGGGUCUCCAUACCUUCCGUCCAGGUUUGUGAUGAUGAUGAUCAUCGCCCAUUGUCCUUCGAGACAGACGAAUGUCAACCACCACCAUCUCAUUGGUGUUUGUACUAUUGCCUUGAAAAUUGUUGGUCGCUUUUGUGUUGUCUGUUAUGGUAUUGUCCUGUGUUUUAUGCUUGACACCAAACCACGAUCAAUUGUGGUGUUUGAAGAUGUAACAAGCAGGAUUUUAAAAGAAAAUCAGUUGAUGUUGUGUUCUUGGAUUUUCAGAAGGCCUUUGACAAGGUGCCACACAUGAAGCUGCUUAACAAGCUACGGGCCCAAGGUAUUAUGGGAAAGAUUUUAGAAUGGAUAAAGCAGUGGCUGACUGACAGGAAGCAAAGAGUGGGAAUAAAGGGAGCCUUUUCUGGUUAGCUACCAACAACAAGUGGUGUUCUACAGGCAUCUGUGUUGGGACCGAUUCUUUUUAUGUUAUAGGUCAACGACUUGGAUGAUGGAAUUGAUGGCUUUGUUGGAAAGUUUGCAGAUGAUAUGAAGAUAGGUGG